GUCCCCAAUCCUCCCGAUGAGGUCUCCCCAGAGAGGAGCAGAGGGGCAGAAUCCCCUCCCUCCCUGCUGGCCGCGCUUCUCUUGAUGCAGCCCAGGACACGGUUGGUUUCUGGGCUGGGAGCGCACGUUGCGGCUCCUGUCGAGCUUCUCCUCGACCAGCACCCCAAGUCCUUCUCCUCGGGGCUGCUCUCCAUCCCAUCAUCCCCAUCGUGUACUGAACCCGGGGAUUGUCCCAACCCAGGGGUAGGACCUUGCCCUUGGCCUGGUUGAACCUCCUGAGGUUCUCCAGCCCCACUUCUCCAGCCUGUCCAGGUACCUCUGGAUGACAUCCCAUCCUCCCGGUGUGGCAACUGCCCCACUCAGCUCGGUGUCAUCUGCAAACUCGCUGAGGGUGCCCUCGAUCUCGCUGUCGAUAUCAUUGAUAAAGAUAUUGAACAGUACGGACCCCUGAGGAACACCAAUGGUCAUGGAUCACCAUCUGGACUUUGAACCAUUGACCACAACUCUUUGAAUAUGACCAUCCAGCAAUCUUCUGGACCUGUUCCUCGGGUUGUGCACCAGCAGAGGGCAGGUGGGCAUUCAGCAGAGGAACAUGAAACACAGCCAAACACAUCCACCCAGCCGGGAAUGUUUGUGCCGCUGAUGGUCACAGAGCGGAUUUCUGGGGGAUGUAAAUAAAGGUGGUUCCUCUGGAAGUGGCGCAGCUCUGCUGAGCUCGGCUGCGCGGCUGCUCCAGGUCUGUUAUGAGUGACAGAGCUUGAGAAAAUGAAUCUGGCUGAUUGCAGCAGAGGAAUCGUGAGCCUUAUUGCCCGUGCCAGACCCUGAGUGCUGGGGAACAGCUGGGGAACGCUUUGCCUUGUUCAGCAGGAGCUGAAUGAGUGCUUUGCUGUGUGUAAAUGCUGGAAACCGCAGAAUAAGCAGGUCUGUCAAGUCUCUAGCUGACUCCUUGCCUCCUCUGCCCCACAUUCCAUGGAAAUGAUGAGGUUUCUCAUUGUUCUGUCAGCCUUAUUUUGUUGGGGAAAUCACUUUAAACCGAAGGCUGAUUGUGGGUUCUUUUUGUGUAAUUCCAGUUUUCAUAAUAACUCUUCAAGUGAGGAAAUCCAAAAUGUUAUUUCUUCUCAGUCCUAAGGAAGCCGCUAAAGACGAGGUCUGUGAAGCUGUUUGGCCUCAUCCUGCUAACACUUCUGCAUCGGCUGAACACGAGCCAGCAGUGACCCAGGUGGUCAAGAAGGCCAACGGCAUCUUGGCUUGGAUCAGAGACAGCGUGGCCAGCAGGAGCAGGGAUGGGAUUGUCCCUCUGCACUCAGCACCGCUUCCGUUAUUUGAAAUGGGAACCAGGAUCUGUUGCCAAUCUGGAGAAAUCCGGUUACAGCAGCGCCCGGGCGCACGGGAUUUUCCGGUGCCCAACCCACGGCCGUUGUCCCUUUGUAAAACCCAGAGCCGGUGAGAAAGAGAGAAAACAGGUUGUGAGGGUUUAAGGCAGGAGAACUUCAGAUGAACUUCCCUUUGUGUGCUCGCAAUCUGUUUAUCUGCGCUGGCCAUGAGGUUUGAAGAGGAAUUGUGGGUUACAGGCACGGAGUUUGCGCCCGUUGAGUUAAUUUCCUGCUCCAUUCUUAUUGAGUCUGCCUUGAAUAGGAAUUGCUGUGGUCAAUUGGAGGAAGAAACAUUGUUUUUGGAAGCGAGAAGGCCUGUUUAUUUCAUUUAAAUCAAUACUCCAUGGCAGAGACCAUGGUCCUUCCCUUACUGACCCGAGAUAGGGGAAGAAAAGCGCUGCUUGCCCGGAACCUUGAAACCAAGCGACUCACACAGCCGAUUUCUGCUCUAUUAACUGCCCGGUGCGCAAACAUUUGCUCCGUGAGGUAACACCGAGGGCUGUGCUUGAAGAUUUUCCCAACUCAAGGAGAACGUGGGUGCUGUACUUUGCUCAUAACAACCAAUGAGUUUAGUGUGUGCUGAAGAACUCGCAAUUUUUGGAGUUUCCAAGACGUCGUGAAGCCACGUAACGACGUGCGUAGCGACCGGUCUGUGGCGUGGCUGCGAGUGGCAUCGGGCAGUUACAUGACUCAGAAAUAGCCUAAUAUUUACCUUAAAUUCAAUUAAAACUCAAAUAUUUCAAACGGGUCCAAUCUGUCCUAAAGGAACAUCCAAGCCCUUGAAGGCAGCUCUCGUGGAAUAUGCUCUGUGCCACCUUCCUUUCCCCAAGGGCCAGCAGGAGCCUGGGUUGUGCUCCGUAGCUGAUGUCCUCAUCUCCAGAUGAUGGGAUGGUCACCCUCUGACAGCAUUAUUCAGUUCGCUCUCCUCUUUCUUCAGCAGGUGACUCCCAUGGCUCUCCAGUGCAACUCUCCAGUUCGCUCAUGGCCAUCACGGAAGCGUUGACACUGAUUUAUGACUCAAAUGGAGACAUAGGUAGGGAAAGCAUCGGAUGGUGGUGCAAAUUAGCAUCGUUCUAGUGAGCAUCUUGCAAGGAAAUUGGAGGAAAUUUCAUAGAAUCAUUAGGUUGGAAAAGACCUUUGAGAUCAUCGGCUCCAACAAUCCCUGUCCACUACUAAAUGACAUCCCCAA